GGGGGUAUAGCUCAGCUGGGAGAGCAGCAGACUGAAGUCACAUGUUUCCGCUGAUUCUGAAGGUCCCGCGUUCGAUCCGCGGUACCCCCA